rnacentral:misc_RNA from 1 species
GAUGAAGAACGUAGCGAAAUGCGAUAAGUAAUGUGAAUUGCAGAAUUCAGUGAAUCAUCGAAUCUUUGAACGCACAUUGCGCCCCUUGGUAUUCCGGGGGGCAUGCCUGUCCGAGCGUCAUUACAACCCUCAAGCUCAGCUUGGUGUUGGGCCCCGCCGCCCCGGCGGGCCCUAAAGUCAGUGGCGGUGCCGUCCGGCUCCGAGCGUAGUAAUUCUUCUCGCUCUGGAGGUCCGGUCGUGUGCUCGCCAGCAACCCCCAAUUUUUUUCAGGUUGACCUCGGAUCAGGUAGGGAUACCCGCUGAACUUAAGCAUAUCAAUAAGCGGAGGA